AUUUUGCGGCUGCUGCUGGUGCCCAAAUAAGGGCGUGGUGGAUGCCGUCGGCUGCUGUUUCGCCGAAUGGAGUUGCUGGUGCUGUGGAUGCCCUUCAGGCCGCUGGAUAGGCCAAUAUUGGGUCAGUUCGCUGGGGGAAAUUUAUGCACGAUCAGCUGGCAAUGCUGUCGUGUGAAUGGCAAGAAUAACAUAAGUAUCAAUUGGGCACGCUAAAGACAUGUAAGUGGACAAGAAUUUUAAAUUUAACAAUUUUAUGGCUAAAUAAUCUAAUUAAUUAAUUUAUUUUAUAUCGCACCGCCUUACGAUGCGCUGGCCGUCUGCCUCUGGCCUUGCGGUGGACAAUUGGCCUCCACCUGGUACCUGGCCGACUUAUUGUCGCAUAAAUUUGCAAUUUGCAUUGCGUGAUGGCUGCCGCUACAUCUGCUGGAAGUUGCAUCGCUUUGGAGGGGCAUGACUUCAGCUGCUGGAGCGGAUGACUGGCAAUGAGCAACACCAUCCACACACCCAGGAUGCAUGGAUAGCGGAUCGCCGUGUUAUCGCGCCUGUUUUUGCCCGAGGGCGGAGUGAUAUGCAGCCUGCGCUGCAUGAUUUUUGCACGUACGGGUGGCGCUGUGUCUGGCCACUCGGCGUCGAGUGGAUGACGUUUCGCCGGCUUCCGUGUGUGCUGAGCAGGCCGCUGACGCAUUCGCUGGUCCAUUUGUGCAGGUACGGCGUCUGCUGGGCUGGAUAGAUGGCGUCUGGGUAGUCAUCCUACGCCUGCAUCUUCGUCGCCGCUCCAAUUUGGCAGUUUGCGCCAUUUUCAGCUGGAUUUGGUGGCAUUUAUUUGCCGUAGUGACCACCGUCGUGCGGUGCGUGUUGUGCAGAUGCAUGCCCGGCUGGGCAUUCUGCUCAAUUUGGAGUCGCUGCGUCUGGCCAAGGGAGGCCGUUUUGACCACAAUGUCCCAUUGCUGGAGAAGCUGCUGCCCCUUAAGGACUGUAUGCUCAAUAAGUGGCUGCUUUUUAGUGCCAAGUGAGUCCAGUGAGGACGCCGUCGACUGAUGCUGUUGUGUCUGCCUGUACUCAGGUACAGAUUGUGCAUUUUGAGGCUCGCGCUUGAGCCCGUAGGUGGGCGUGGCGGCUGUCGUCGGCUGCUGUUGCACGUUCGGCUGCAGAUUUGGCGGGCGUUGCUGGUGACCAUAGGAGGCAUUGGAGGCUCCUAUUGACCAUCGCUGCUGUGCUUGCUGCCCCCAUA